AGAGAGAGACAUGCGCGCAUAUCAAUAAGCGGAGGAAAAGAAACUAACAAGGAUUCCCUUAGUAACGGCGAGUGAAGCGGGAAGAGCUCAAAUUUGAAAUCUUCAAGGGUUUACCUUUACGAAUUGUAGUUUAAAGAAGUGUUUUCUGUUGAAGUUUUCGGUAAAAGUUCUUUGGAAUAGGACAUCAUAGAGGGUGAGAAUCCCGUAUUUGACCAUUACUUUCAGCUUUGUGAUACACUUUCAAAGAGUCGGAUUGUUUGGGAAUGCAGUCCAAAAUGGGUGGUAAAUUUCAUCUAAAGCUAAAUAUUGGCGAGAGACCGAUAGCGAACAAGUACCGUGAGGGAAAGAUGAAAAGAACUUUGAAAAGAGAGUUAAACAGUACGUGAAAUUGUCAAAAGGGAAGCGUUUGACACCAGUGUUGUUUUUCUGAAAAUCAAUUAAAGAACUGUUUAUGCUAAGUUGUUUAGACUUUAUCAGCUAACUGUUUAGUUUUGAGCUUUUCUUUAAUGCACUUUUCAGUUAACAAGUCAACAUCAAUUUCUUUUGCUGUAAAAAAGCUUGAGGAAGGUGGCUUGAGAUUCGUCUUAAGUGUUUAUAGCCUCUUGCCUAUGCAGUCGGAGAGAUUGAGGUCUGCAGCGUAGAUCCUUCGGGGCUAAAUGCAUUUGUGCUAAGUUAUAGCAUUUUAUAGACAACUUGUUGACUAUGAUUUGUCUUGUAGCUUACUCGCUUAUGUUAUUUUACCUACGCUUAGGAUGUUGAGCGCAUGUCUCUCUCU
rnacentral:rRNA from 1 species